GACGAACGCUGGCGGCGUGCCUAAUACAUGCAAGUCGAACGCAGUGGGGACGGGUGAGUAACACGUGGGUAACCUCCCAUCAGAGGGGAUAACACUUGGCAACAGGUGCUAAACUGCUACUGAUUGAUCGACUCGCGGUGCAUUAGCUAGUUGGUGAGGUAACGGCUCACCAAGGCCACGAUGCAUAGCCGACCUGAGAGGGUGAUCGGCCACACUGGGACUGAGACACGGCCCAGACUCCUACGGGAGGCAGCAGUAGGGAAUCUUCGGCAAUGGGCGAAAGUCUGACGGAGCAACGCCGCGUGAGUGAAGAAGGUUUUCGGAUCGUAAAGCUCUGUUGUUGGGGAAGCGGUAUUUAACCAGAAAGCAACGGCUAACUACGUGCCAGCAGCCGCGGUAAUUC
rnacentral:rRNA from 1 species